CUCCUACGGGGCGCAGCAGUGGGGAAUAUUGCACAAUGGGGGGAACCCUGAUGCAGCGACGCCGCGUGGGUGAGGAAGUACUUCGGUAUGUAAAGCCCUAUCAGCAGGGAAGAAAAUGACGGUACCUGACUAAGAAGCCCCGGCUAACUACGUGCCAGCAGCCGCGGUAAUACGUAGGGGGCAAGCGUUAUCCGGAUUUACUGGGUGUAAAGGGAGCGUAGACGGCGUGCCAAGUCUGAUGUGAAAUACCCGGGCUCAACCUGGGAACUGCUUUGGAAACUGUAUGGCUGGAGUGCUGGAGAGGG
rnacentral:rRNA from 1 species